rnacentral:rRNA from 1 species
GAUGAACGCUGGCGGCGUGCUUAACACAUGCAAGUCGAACGGUGAAGGCGGAGCUUGCUCUGCUGGAUCAGUGGCGAACGGGUGAGUAACACGUGAGCAAUCUGCCCCUGACUCUGGGAUAAGCGCUGGAAACGGCGUCUAAUACUGGAUACGAGCUGCGAAGGCAUCUUGAGCAGCUGGAAAGAACCUCGGUCAGGGAUGAGCUCGCGGCCUAUCAGCUUGUUGGUGAGGUAGCGGCUCACCAAGGCGUCGACGGGUAGCCGGCCUGGGAGGGUGACCGGCCACACUGGGACUGAGACACGGCCCAGACUCCUACGGGAGGCAGCAGUGGGGAAUAUUGCACAAUGGGCGAAAGCCUGAGGCAGCAACGCCGCGUGAGGGACGACGGCCUUCGGGUUGUAAACCUCUUUUAGCAGGGAAGAAGCGAAAGUGACGGUACCUGCAGAAAAAGCGCCGGCUAACUACGUG